GGGGGUUCAGCUCAAUUGGGAGAGCGUCAGACUGAGGUUAUAACUUCAUUCAUUUCUUAUAAACUUGGAAACUGUGCAAAAGGGGAAAAAAAAAAAGUUUAAUCUGAAGGUCGUGUGUUCGAUCCACACAAACCGCA